UGUUAAAAUUUUUUAUUUAUUUUUAUUAUUAAAAACUGUAAUAACUAACGAAAUAGUCAAACAAUUGAAAGUAGCGUUCCAUGUAUACCUCACGCUGACGUGCAUAGAUUAAUUUUUAACAGUAAAAAUGAAUAAAUUUUUUAAUA
rfam:Gossypium arboreum cultivar AKA8401 contig_1188_3, whole genome shotgun sequence.